GAAGCAUGGGAUUGUGUAAUUUAAAUAUUGAAAUUAUUAUGAAAUUUUCGAAGUAUAAUUGGAAGAGCCUUAAAGUUUGAUGCUUCUGCAAUAUUUAAUUGAGUCAGUCAGCCAUUCAGCCAGCGAGAAGCAGCAACAACAGUAGCAGCAGCAGCGGCGACCGAGACAAAUGUCAGCUUAUGAAUUAAAAUGCCUUAUGAUGCUGAUUUUUUAUCAGCAAUCUGUUCCCGCUGAAGUUCCUCUUCAUCCUGUCGGACAGACUAUAAAGCUGACUGAUAAUUGCGCAUGAUCUGCGCUUUGUGAACAAUUUGUUUUUGUCUCUGACACACGAUGAGCUUUACGAUGUUCCAUUCAUAUUCCAACCCCAAAUUCAAAUGGCUUAAUAUCUUCUUCUUUGGGAAUUGAUUCCACGGAAACACUUGUCACGGGUGUAAGUGAAGCUUAUUUCUUGCCACUUUAUGUCACUAACUCGAGGCGAUGCGAUGCGGCGCGUGGGGCGUGGGGC